GGAGAGGUGACUGAGCCUGGAAAAGUGCCCGGUUGCUACCCGGAGGCCAGCCGCCCAUGCGCGGCUGCGUGGGUUCGAAUCCCACCCUCUCCGCCA
rnacentral:tRNA from 1 species